AAGAACAGAGAAUCUAUUAUGAGAAGAACAAUUGAUAAUGAUUUAUUCCAUUCUUCUCUGAGAAUUAUUAUUACAUUCAUAGUAAUAUAAACUGAAAUUUUCAAGCCCGUAACCACAUACAUAUGUAACCAAUCCCAGUGGCACAACCUUUUUCAUGUCAAAGGAUAUGUGCCUUAUUCAACAAUAAGUUAAGUACCAUAAAUUAAAAACACACCAUAUGAUC